rnacentral:rRNA from 1 species
CAUGCUUAACACAUGCAAGUCGAACGAUACUAGCUUGCUAGUAGGCGUCGAGUGGCGGACGGGUGAGUAACGCGUAGGAAUCUGCCCAUCUGUGGGGGAUACCAGUUGGAAACGACUGUUAAUACCGCAUAAUAUCUGCGGAUUAAAGGUGGCCUUUGUGCUGCCGCAGAUGGAUGAGCCUGCGUUAGAUUAGCUUGUUGGUGGGGUAAAGGCCUACCAAGGCUACGAUCUAUAGCUGAUUUGAGAGGAUGAUCAGCCACAUUGGGACUGAGACACGGCCCAAACUCCUACGGGAGGCAGCAGUGGGGAAUAUUGGACAAUGGGCGAAAGCCUGAUCAGCAAUGCCAUGUGUGUGAAGAAGGCUCUAGGGUUGUAAAGCACUUUAGUUGGGGAGGAGAGCUUAUGAGUUAAUAGCUCAUGAGAAGGACGUUACCCAAAGAAUAAGGACCGGCUAACUCCGUGCCAGCAGCCGCGGUAAUACGGGGGGUCCGAGCGUUAAUCGGAAUUACUGGGCGUAAAGGGUCUGUAGGUGGUUUGUUAAGUCAGAUGUGAAAGCCCAGGGCUCAACCUUGGAACUGCAUUUGAUACUGGCAAACUAGAGUAUAGUAGAGGAAUGGGGAAUUUCUGGUGUAGCGGUGAAAUGCGCAGAGAUCAGAAGGAACACCAAUGGCGAAGGCAACAUUCUGGACUAAUACUGACACUGAGGGACGAAAGCGUGGGGAUCAAACAGGAUUAGAUACCCUGGUAGUCCACGCUGUAAACGAUGAGUACUAGCUGUUGGAGUCGGUGUAAAGGCUCUAGUGGCGUAGCUAACGCGUUAAGUACUCCGCCUGGGGACUACGGCCGCAAGGCUAAAACUCAAAGGAAUUGACGGGGACCCGCACAAGCGGUGGAGCAUGUGGUUUAAUUCGAUGCAACGCGAAGAACCUUACCUGGUCUUGACAUCCUGCGAACUUUCUAGAGAUAGAUUGGUGCCUUCGGGAACGCAGUGACAGGUGCUGCACGGCUGUCGUCAGCUCGUGUUGUGAAAUGUUGGGUUAAGUCCCGCAACGAGCGCAACCCCUAUUGAUAGUUACCAUCAUUAAGUUGGGUACUCUAUUGAGACUGCCGCUGACAAGGCGGAGGAAGGUGGGGACGACGUCAAGUCAUCAUGGCCCUUACGACCAGGGCUACACACGUGCUACAAUGGGUUUUACAGAGGGCUGCGAAGGUGCGAGCUGGAGCGAAACUCAGAAAGGUACUCUUAGUCCGGAUUGCAGUCUGCAACUCGACUGCAUGAAGUCGGAAUCGCUAGUAAUCGCAGGUCAGAAUACUGCGGUGAAUACGUUCCCGGGUCUUGUACACACCGCCCGUCACACCAUGGGAGUGGGUUGCUCCAGAAGUAGAUAGC